UUACUCCUGUUUCCUUUCAGAACGCAUAAAUCUUUCGCCUUUUACUAAAGAUUUCCAUGGAGGGGAAACAAUAUGAGUUUUUUGUGCAUUUUUCGUAACCCCGCUAUGGGGGGGUA